AUCUCAACUCAAAGAGGAUGGAUGUAGAUGAUCUUAUACAUCAUUUUAGCAUGUGGGGAGAUUUCAAAGGCAACAUCUAUCAGGAUGCAUAUGCUGCCAUGAUUAUAGGGAUGGAUGCAAAGCUAGACAACCAUUUGGAGAAUGUUUGACACACAACAAUUGGAUCUUCUAAUCAUUUCGAUCAAGAAGCAAGUAAACCAUGUGAUAAGGUUCAAAUAGUGAAGAACCUCGUAAAAGCCAUUUGAAGAAAAAGGUAGGGGAUAUACAAGAGAAAUCACUUUCCUUUUGAAUUUAGAAUUCUAAAAAUUGCCUUUUAUUUAUGUUAUGAAGUUUAAACUGUCAUCUAAUUAUACAAAAAUAUGCAUAAAAUUAUCAUUUUUUUUUAGUAUGAUUUCAUUUAACAACUUAUUAUGAACCAUGCAUUUUGUUAUUAGUAAGCCUAUAUGUUCGGUAGAAGUUAGUCGUUUGAAUCUGCUUCAUCUUGAACAAGAACUUGAACAAACUAAGGCACAAGUUGCUUUAUUGAGUGGUUUAUUCAAUGCUAAUCAUCUUGGGAUUACUGGAGCUGCAAACUCAGGAAGCAGGUCAAAGUUUACAAGAUUAUAUGAAGUUCGGGGAAAAUGUUCAACUGCAAUGAAUUGUAUAGUUUUUUUUUUGUUACUU